rnacentral:sRNA from 10 species
UGAUGUAAGUGUCAGAAUUAUAGGAUAGCGUAAUGUGCUCGCACAAAUAAGCAAUAAUACUUAUAGACACGCCGAACACCGAAAACGAAAUAAAAUGGAGUGAACAUGCCAUUAUAUGGGAGUAAGAGGUGUACGAGGAUAGCGGGAAUUGCAUAGCAAAGGAGCAAUCCGGUAACAUCA